rnacentral:rRNA from 1 species
UACGGGGGGGGCAAGCGUUUGUUCGGAAUUACUGGGCGUAAAGGGCUCGUAGGCGGCCAACUAAGUCAGACGUGAAAUCCCCAGGCUCAACCUGGGAACUGCGUCUGAUACUGGAUGGCUUGAAUCCGGGAGAGGGAUGCAGAAUUCCAGGUGUAGCAGUGAAAUGCGUAGAUAUCUGGAGGAAUACCGGUGGCGAAGGCGGCAUCCUGGACCGGCAUUGACGCUGAGGAGCGAAAGCUAGGGGAGCAAACGGG